ACCACCCACUAGACACGCUCCUUCUGCCAUUCAUUUCACGAAAGAACUAAAUCACUGCUGGAAUCGGUAACGUUCGACCCAGGAUGCCAAGGUUGCACUCCUCACUGCUUGAAUAAACGGUCUUGCUUGUAAUUAUGUAACGGGCAAGAUAACUGUUACUUUGCUGUUGUUGCUUUAUCGAGCAGCACGUUGCUCGAUGCGUGUCGAUAAUUUGAGUGCGUUACAGGUAAUAGAUAAGUUCUGCAGUCAUUUUCAAAGGACGCACGACGCUUGACGAUCGGUGGAACGAUUAAUGGGAGUGAAGGCAAUGGAUCUUCGGUAGGUGGUACUUGGGUAGUCUACUGGGAUCACGUUCUUUAGUUAGUCACUGAAGAACUUUGAAAAUCACUCGAGGGAAGACGUUGGUCAACUUUCUGGUAGUUUACGAAACUACCGGACUGACUUAAGAGGCAUUCAAAGACUCGUUAGCGGCCGACAGAAAAAGAUUGGCGAACUUAACGGAAAGUUGGACGUCGACGUGGAUGAGUAACGUAGAAAAAAUUUCAAAGAACUUUUCGAAAGGAACAUUCGCAACGCUCCCCUUUAGUGGCCAGAUCCAGUUACACGAGAUUGCGCAACCGUUAGCUAUUUCUCAUGAAACGUUUUCUCCUACCCAAACUCCUCCUGGGCCCUCGCGGUAUCUUUGAACAAGCAUCAUGGACCCUAAAGGAUCGUGCGCGUGUAUGACCCAAACCAUCGUGCUACUGAAAUCUGCAUCGAAAGAGGUUCAACUGGAUUCCAGUGUGAAUCUUUCACACGAGGCUUCAUCUUGUGGGGCAAGGAUUUUCAAUAUAUAAAGAAUAAACGAGGCAACCUGCUAUUAUUUUAAAUUACGCCAAAAUACGUUCCAUUAUUGAAUUAUUCUGCUAUUUGCGUUUAUUAAAACUACAGGGGUUGUUAUGAUUAUUCCAGAAACGUGUUUCAACGCUGUCAAAAGAGCUUUCGAAAAAUUUCCAUCAUCCUCUGUUGGCACGUAGGAAGUAACUAUUUUGAAAAAAAAAAGAAGUAGAAGAGUUGGGGAGCCAGUUUUGUAUCCGGGAUCCUUCGAAAAACCGUUAAGAUGAGACGUUAUUCAUCAUCGGGCCCAAAAGGUCCGUAACCCCAGGCUGCAGGAUCCUGAUCCUGAAUCGCGUGACCGAGCCUGGCUGAAAUAUCUGGCCCACUUCCAGCACUUGGGAUCCUUGGCUUUCACGGCUCUGGCCGUUACGUAUUGUGCGGUUGUCCUGCUGUUGAAACUUCUGGAAGAGGAUCUGUGAGUUGGACCGGAACUAAAUGGAAUUUCUUUCGCGUAAAAUAAUAUAUGGGGUGGAUCAAGAUGCGGAUUUCUUCAGAUCUGUACCUUUUAAAUUAUUUGGAACAGCAAAUGACUGCAAUCCCUGGACCUAAAGAUUUACUUUAAUGGGCUUCCACUUUUGGGACGGAAUCAUCGAGGCAAACUGGUUGGCAAUAAACAAGGUAAAUUGCUUAGCAGUGGGCGUCCACUCCGAGCAGGCUCUUAACAUUUGAAAAAUCCAAGGCACAAAUACCAAACUAAAUGUUUUACGAGGGACUGAUGCUAUUAACGAGGAUAAAUGAUAAUGAUUUCGCCCUCCCCGGGUAGCCGCAUUAGAAUUAUCGAUGAGCGGUAAAAUACAUUCGGAAAUUGUUUUUUAUAUUUAUA